CAAAACCCAAAAGGGGRAAGGGGUUACCCCAAGGGCCUCCGGAGAAGGGCGGUUUUUCCCCGGUGUAAAAGGCUGGGGGAAUAAGGGGGGGGCAAGACUGGUGUCAGCCGCCGCGGUAAUACCAGCUCUCCGAGUGGUGGGGACGCUUAUUGGGCCUACAGCAUUCGUAGCCGGCUGGGCAAGUCCUCCGUUAAAUCCAACGAUUCAAUCGUUGGACUGCAGGGGAUACUGUCCGGCUAGGGGGCGGAAGAGGCCGACGGUAUUCUCGGGGUAGGGGUGAAAUCCUAUGAUCCCGGGAGGACCACCAGUGGCGAAGGCUGUCCGCUAGAACGCGCCUGACGGUGAGGGAUGAAAGCUGGGGGAGCGAACCGGAUUAGAUACCCGGGUAGUCCCAGCUGUAAACGAUGCAUGCUAGGUGUUGGGGCGGCUACGUGCCACUCCAGUGCCGCAAGGAAGCCGUUAAGCCUGCCGCCUGGGAAGUACGGUCGCAAGGUUGAAACUUAAAGGAAUUGGCGGGGGA
rnacentral:rRNA from 1 species